ACAAACUGCUUUCUCAAUUUUGAACCAGUCCAUUGUUCCAUGUACAGUUCUAACUGGUUUCUUGAUCUGCAUACAGGUUUCUCAGGAGGCAGGUAAGGUGGUCUGGUAUUCCCGUCUCUUUCAGAAUCUUCCAGUUUGUUGUGAUCCACAUAGUCAAAGGCUUUAGUGUAGUCAAUAAAGCAGAAGUAGAUGUUUUUCUGGAACUCUUUUGCUUUUUCUAUGAUCUAACAGAUGUUGGCAAUUUGAUCUCUGCUUCCUCUGCCUUUUCUAAAUCCAGCUGGAACUGGAAGUUCUUGGUUCACAUACUGUUGAAGUCUAGCUUGAAGGAUUUUGAGCAUUACCUUGCUAGCAUGUGAAAUGAGCUCAAUUGUCAGAUAGUUUGAACAUUCUUUGGCAUUGCCCUCCUUUGGGACUGGAAUGAAAACUGAGCUUUUCUAGUCCUGUGGUCACUGUUGAGUUUUCCAUAUUUGCUGACAUAGUGAGUGCAGCACUUUAACAGCAUCAUCUUUUUGGAUUUGAAAUAGCUCAAGUCAAAUUCCAUCACCUCCACUAGCUUUGUUCAUAGAGAUGCUUCGUCACCUCCACUAGCUUUGUUGGUAGUAAUGCUUCCUAAGGCCCAUUUGACUUCCACUCCAGGAUGUCUGGCUCUAGGUGAGUGACCAAACCAUCAUAGUUAUCUGGGUAAUUAAGACCUUUUUGUAGUUUUUCUUGUAUUCUUGCUACCUCUUCUUAAUCUCUUAUGGUUCUGUUAGAUCCAUACUGCUUGUCCUUUGUUGCGCCCAUGCUUGCAUGAAAUGUUCCCUUGGAAUCUCUGAUUUUCUUGAAGAGAUCUCUAGUCUUUGCAUUGUUCACUUAAAAAGCCUUUUUUUUUUUUAAUCUAUUCUUGCUAUUCUCUGGAACUCUGCAUUCAGUUGGGUAUAUCUUUCCCUUUCUCCUGUGCCUUUCAUUUCUCUUUUCUCAGCUGUUGGUAAGGCCUCCUCACACAACCACUUUGCCUUCUUGCAUUUCUUUUUAUUGGGGAUGGUUUGAUCACUGCCUCCUGUAUACAGGAACUAAGAACCUCUGUCCAUAGUUCAGGCACUCUGUCUACCAGAUCUAAUCCCUUGAAAUCUAUUUGUCACCUCCACUGUAUAAGGGAUUUGAUUUAGGUCAUAUCUAAAUGCCCUAGUGGUUUUCCUUACUUUCUUCAAUUUAAAUAAAAUGACUCAGUUAUAUGCAUACAUACAUUUUUUUUUUUGUAUUCUUUUCCAUUAUUAUCACAGGAUAUUGAAUAUAGUUCCCUGUGUUAUACAUUAGGACAUUGUUCUUUUAUUUUAAACAUAAUAGCUUGCAUGUACCAACCCCAAACUCCCAGUCCAUCCCUCCCAUCUGCCAACACUUGGCAACCACAAGUCUGUUCUCUAUGUCCAAGUCUGUUCUGUUUUGUAGGUAGAUUUGUGUCAUAUUUUAAGACUCCACAUAUAAGUGAUAUCAUAUGGUAUUUGUUUUUCUGACUUACUUCAUUUAAUAUUGAUAAUCUCCAUUUGCAUCCAUGUUGUUGUAAAUGGCAUUAUUUCAUUCUUUGUUAUGGCCAAGUAGUAUUUCAUUAUAUAUGUAUGUGUGCCACAUCUUCUUUACCCAUUCAUCUGCUGAUGGACAUUUAUGUUAUUUCCAUGUUUUAGCUAUUGUGAAUAGUGCUGUUAUGAACAUAGGAGUGCACAUAUCUUUGUGAAUUAUAGUUUUGUCCAGGAUUAUAUUCCCAGGAGUGAGACUGCUGAAUCAUAUGGUAAUUCUGUUUUUAGCUUUCUGAGGAACCUCCAUACCGUCUUCCAUGGUGGCUGCACCAACUUGCAUUCCCACCAGCAGUGUAGGAGGGUUCCCUUUUCUCCAUACCCUCUCCAAGCAUUUAUUUGUAGACUUCGAAAUGAUGGUCAUCCUGACCCUAAGUCAAUUUAAAUAUAAAGUUAACUAGAAAAAGAGACCACUUCCUUUUGUCUUUCAUGUACUUAUAAAAUUUCUGAAUGUUAACUAUUUAGAGUAUGACUUCUCCAUUUCUAAGCAGACAGCGACAUUGCUUUUUCUCCUAUCAUAACAUCUUAAUUAGCCUUGUCUUUGCAUAAAGGUCUCUCCUGAAGGCCUGAGUGCCAGCCACUUUGACAGAUAUAGUUCUAUGAAUUGAAUGUCUCCCACAAAAUCAAAUGCUGAAGCCCUAAUCCCCAAUGUAAUGGUAUGUUUUAAAACCUUUUAUUUUAUAUUGGAGUAUAGUUAAUACUGUUAAGUUUCAGGUGUACACCAAAUAAUUCAGUCAUACAUUAUAUAUAUAUAUAUAUAUAUUUUUCAAAUUCAUAUAUAUAUAUAUGUAUAUAUAUAUAUAUUCUUUUUCAAAUUCUUUUCCCAUUUAGGUUGCUAUAGCAGAGUUCCCUGUGCUAUAUAUAGUAGGUCUUGUUGGUUGUCUGUUAUAUAAUUUUUAAAACUUAAAAAAAGUUUAUUGUACUAUAAUUGCUUUACUGUGUUAGUGUCCGCUGUGCAGCAAAGUGAAUCAGUUUCCAUGUAUACGUAUGUCCACUUCCUUUUAGACUUCUUUCCCGUUUAGGUCACCACAGAGCACUGAGUCGAGUCCCUUGUGCUAUACAGUAGACUCUCAUUAGUUAUCUGUUUCAUUCGUAGUGGUCUGUAUCUGUGAUCCUGUUUCUCCUUUGCAAAUAAGUUCUUCUGUACCAUUUUUCUAGAUUCCAUAUAUAUAAGGCAAUAUUGUACCAUAUUUUUCUCCUACUUCACUGUAUGAGUUCCGUUUUCUCCACACUGUCUCCAACAUUUAGACUUUUUGAUGAUGGCCAUUCUAACUGGUGUGAGGCGAUAUCUCAUUGUAGUUUUGAUUUGCAUUUCUCUAACAAUAAUGAUGUUGAGUAUCUUUUCAUGUGCAUGUUUUCUUUGAAGAAAUAUUUAUCUAUUUAGGUCUUCUGUCCACUUUUUGAUUGGGCUUUGAUGUUGAGCUGCAAGAGCUGUUUAUAAAAUUUGGAAAUUAAUCCCUUGUCAGUCGCAUCAUUUGUAAAUAUUUUCUCCCAUUCUGUGGGUUAUCUUUUCUUUUUAAAAAUCAUUUGCUUUGCUGCGCAUAAAGGCUUUUGAGUUUAACUAGGUCCCAUUUGUUAACUUCAUUUUUAUUUCCAUUGCUCUGGGAGAAGAACUGAAAAAGGUAUUGUGUGAUUUAUGUCAAAAAGCGUUCUGCCUAUGUUUUCCUCUAGGAGUUUUAUAGUAUCAGGUUUUACAUUUAGGUCUUGAGUCCAUUCUGAGUUUAUUUUUGUGUAUGGUGUUGAAGAAUGUUCUAAUUUGAUUCUUUUACAUAUAGCUGUUCAAUUUUCCCAGCACAGUUUAUGUUUUUUCCCCAGUGUUAUGGCAUUUGGAGGUAGGUUUUUGGGAGAGAACUGGGUUUGGAUGAUGUCAUGGGGUUGAGCCCCAUGAUGGGAUUAUUGCCUUUAAAGGGGGAUGAAGGGACCAGAGUUUGCUCUCUGCUCCCCAUAUGAGGAUACAUGGCUCUCUGCAAAUCAGGAAGAAAGUUCUCACCAGACACUAGCUCUGUUGGUCACUUGAUCUUAGAAUUCCCAGCAUUCAGAAUUGUGAGAAAUACCUGUUUGUUGUAUAAGCUACCCAGCCUAUGGUAAUUUAUUACACCAGCUCAAACAUACUUUAUAUACCCCAGGAAUAUGUCAAUCAUCUACAUCACCUACAGUUAUUUUUCUGGACCUUUGCUUUGGUUUGAUGGACUGGCUCAUGGUGGGUGGCGGUGCAGAAAGAAACAGUUCUGUAAAUCUUAUUUUAUCCAUUAUCAGGAUGCUGUCUGUAACACUGAAGAUUCCUCUUGGUGAGGCUCAUUAAGAGGAAAAGCUCUCUGGCCUUUAUAAUAGAACAACUGUUUCCUCUGGAGAGACUGGUUUGCUUUUUAUCUUAUGGCUGUCCUGAGAUACAUGACUGAUCAGUGUUCAUUUUUAGUGCUGCAUUUCACACAGAGAGGAAGAAUGUUGGCACCCAGUUACAAGCAGUCAAAACUUUUUGACUGGAGAAUUUGGUUUUAUAUAUUCCAGAGGACCCCUUCUGGGAGGCAAAAUUAGGAUAUUGUUGCUGCUCAAAUGUGUAUAGAAGAAUCUGUUCAACACAAGAGCCAAAGACCACUGUGUAAAUAUGAACCCAAGUGAUCAUCUGUUAAGAAUAGUACCUGAGAUGGAGACAUAAAACACCUGUUACAUGGCUGAUGGGUCACAGUAUCAUGUGCCCCACUACCUGUACACCAUGUUUUGGUGAGUGGACGGCAAUAACAAGUUAAAAAAAAAAAUAUUUUGUAAACUGAAACCAAAUAAAGGAUAACUGGAUAACUUGUUGGGCUUACAUAUCUACCACUGAUAACCCCGAAGUUCUUCUGAUGCAGGUGACUGAUUGGGGAAGGAACUAAAUUCACAAUUAAUUGUUACACUUAUUCAUUUCACAAAAUUAAAAUUUCUGUGGUAGAGAGAGGUAAGCGUUAUGAGGUUUAUGCAUGAUUAAAAACAAGUUUACACUGAACUAUUUGGUAAACUGCAAAGUUUCUUUUAAAGUUACACCUGCAUUUCAGUCACUACACUACACAAAUGAUUAUUAUUUUGGUUUUAUCCCUGUUUUUCUGGUCUGUAAUAUGUAAAAAAAAAAAAAAUGCAGAAGGAAUACUGACAAAUGUAAUUAAGAAAAGUUACCCAAGGAUGGGAUUUAAGUACAGGAUUAAUUUCAGCUGGUCUGUUGCAACCCUGUGUUUACCCUUAGGUACAUACCUGGAACCAAUCAUGUUGUUGACCCAUGGCCAAAUCUAAAUGAAACAGAUUAAUAUAGUCUGCCCAAGGGUCACAGAUAGAUAGACCAGGGGUUGCACUACCAGCUUGUCAGCACUGUUCAUAGAAAUUUUACAGAUUCAUGGGUUUUACACCUGGUUUCCGUUAUAUUCCCUUGCUUUUUGCCUUUGAGCCUGGUCAUGGAGCCUGAUUCUGGCUAUAUGAACAGAUAAGGGUAUAAAAGACAUCUCUUUGUAUAAGAUAGAUACUCCUCUGAAACCAAGUUAUUGUACGCAGAUCUGAGUGGUGGUCCACAUUCUGAAGCAUGUUCUAUGCGACUGAGGUAGGAUCCCUGGAGGUACCUGAUCAUUUUGAAGUUCUGUGACAUCCACCUAUGUAUUUUAUUCUCCUGCUGUACAAAAACCUCAAUAUUUAUUGAUGUCUUAUGUAACACAGGACAAGGAAUAAUCAUUAAGUGAAUAAAUGAAGGUUAUAAAAUGUCACUGUAACAAUCAGUAGUUCUGCUGCCUCUACAUUUUAAAUGGCAUUUUUGCUCUUCCAGUUACACCUUUCCCUUCAUGUUCUUUUGCUUAGUCGUCUGUCACUCCCUGCUGCUGUUAGCUUUCAACAGCACACCACUUCUAAAGUGCUACCUCUAAAGUGCCUAUUUGCUGAAAAAGCAGACAUUCCAAGUUUGUUUGAAGUAUGUUGCUGACUUAGGUCAAUAAGAUGAGAGAAAAGUGCUUAAUUUAGGUAAAUGGAGUUCAGUAAAUCAUUUCACCAAGGGAGACUUUUUUGGGACAGGAGCUUAUUUGGGGUGUCUAAAUAUUUAAAGUCAAAUUAAGACAGAUAGCUGCAUAGUACAUUACAUCAAUAAGAUACAUUAUUUUCCAGAUCAAGUAAAAUUUUAGGCCAAAAUGAAUGUGAGAUGGAAAAAUGCUCAUAUAUUCGUUGUUUUCUUAUCUGCCAGAUUUUUAAACUACCUCUAGAAAAGGGGUUAUUUAAGAAUCAGGAAAGCCAUCAGAGACUGCUAAUAUGUUAAAGACAUGGAACUGUGAAACCUCGAAUGAUAAAAG